UGGCUUUACCUGAAGACGGUGCGCUAACCGCAAGGAGGCAGCUGACCACGGUGGGAUCAGCGACUGGGGUGAAGUCGUAACAAGGUAGCCGUAGGUGAACCUGCAGAAGGAUCA
rnacentral:rRNA from 1 species